rnacentral:rRNA from 1 species
GAUGAACGCUGGCGGCGUGCCUAAUACAUGCAAGUCGAGCGCGAGAUUGAGGAGCUUGCUCCUCAUGAUCGAGCGGCGGACGGGUGAGUAACACGUAGGCAACCUACCCUUGAGAUUGGGAUAACUACCGGAAACGGUAGCUAAUACCGGAUACGACAUAGUCACAAAAGUGAUUGUGUUAAAAGGCGGAUUUAUCUGCCGCUCAUGGAUGGGCCUGCGGUGCAUUAGCUAGUUGGUGAGAUAGAAGCUCACCAAGGCGACGAUGCAUAGCCGACCUGAGAGGGUGAUCGGCCACACUGGGACUGAGACACGGCCCAGACUCCUACGGGAGGCAGCAGUAGGGAAUCUUCCGCAAUGGACGAAAGUCUGACGGAGCAACGCCGCGUGAGUGAUGAAGGGUUUCGGCUCGUAAAACUCUGUUGUUAAGGAAGAAUACUUGAGGUAGUAACUGGCCUUGAGAUGACGGUACUUAACCAGAAAGCCACGGCUAACUACGUGCCAGCAGCCGCGGUAAUACGUAGGUGGCAAGCGUUAUCCGGAAUUAUUGGGCGUAAAGCGCGCGUAGGCGG